rnacentral:rRNA from 1 species
UUAGCGCGGUGGUCCCACCUGACCCCAUGCCGAACUCAGAAGUGAAACGCCGUAGCGCCGAUGGUAGUGUGGGGGUCUCCCCAUGCGAGAGUAGGGAACUGCCAGGCA